CCAGAUUGAUGAUAUCGGUGAACUUCUACCCCUCUACCAGUAUUAAGCUCUCGUAAUAUUGUGGGUCCUGAGCAUGAACGAAAAAAUAUGUUCAUUUGUUCUUCUUCCAAAGUCGGCCUAACCUUAGCCGCUUCUGACCUCCAACGAGUACCAUACUCGUGAAAGGUUUCAGUAGGAUUCUUCUUCAAAGUCUGAAUGUAGAACAGGUCUGGCACAUUUUCAGUGUUGAAUCUGAAAUGGUCCAUGAAAUCGGAUGCCAUGUUUACCCAACUCGUCCACUUCUCCGCAUCUUGGCUGAUGCACCAAG
rnacentral:lncRNA from 1 species